UUAGUACUCCCUCCGUCCCAAAAUUCAUGUCUUAGAUUUGCCUAGAUACAGAUGUAUCUAAUACUAAAACGUGACUUGAUACAUCCGUAUUUAGACAAAUCUAGGACAACAAUUUUGGGACGGAGGGGUAAUAA
rfam:Triticum aestivum genome assembly, contig: Triticum_aestivum_CS42_TGACv1_scaffold_050691_1BS